UCUGCUAUAGUACAGUGGUCAGUAUAUCUGCCUUUCACGCAGACGACCCGGGUUCGAACCCCGGUAGCAGAA